rnacentral:rRNA from 1 species
AGUAACUGCGAGUGAAGUGGCAAAAGCUCAAAUUUGAAAUCCGGUACCUCCGGUACCUGAGUUGUAAUUUGGAGAGACAAAUUUGGUUGGCAGCGCUGGCCUAGGUUCCUUGGAACAGGACAUCAUAGAGGGUGAGAAUCCCGUGCCCGGCUGGAAUGGCUGCCAUGCCGCUAAAUUGUCUUCGACGAGUCGAGUUGUUUGGGAAUGCAGCUCAAAAUGGGUGGUAAAUGUCAUCUAAAGCUAAAUAUUGGCGAGAGACCGAUAGCGCACAAGUAGAGUGAUCGAAAGAUGAAAAGCACUUUGAAAAGAGAGUCAAAAAGUACGUGAAAUUGCUGAAAGGGAAGCGCUUGAGACCAGACUCGAAACGUGAUGAUCGGCCUGCGCUUCUGUGCGGCUACAUUCGCCACGAUUCGGGCCAGCAUCGGUUCUGGCGGUCGGACAAAAGGUGGGGGAAUGUAGCUUCCUUCGGGGAGUGUUAUCAGCCCCCAUCACAAUGCGGCCAGCUGGGACCGAGGACAGCGCUCCUUUAUGGGGCCAGGAUGCUGGCGCAAUGGUCUUAAGCGACCCGUCUUGAAACACGGACCAAGGAGUCUAACAUCUAUGCGAGUGUUCGGGUGGAAAACCCUUGCGCGAAAUGAAAGUGAACGGAGGUGGGAACUCGCAAGGGUGCACCAUCGACCGAUCCCGAUGUCUUCGGAGGGAUUUGAGUAGGAGCAUAGCUGUUGGGACCCGAAAGAUGGUGAACUAUGCCUGAAUAGGGUGAAGCCAGAGGAAACUCUGGUGGAGGCUCGCAGCGGUUCUGACGUGCAAAUCGAUCGUC